rnacentral:lncRNA from 1 species
UAAUCACUUCUCCAUUGCAGUUGUUUUGUCUUUCUUGUUGUCAUGGAUAACUAAAGGGGCAUGACAAUUAUGACUUAGUUACAUAGUUGGAUGAAAUUAACAAAUAACAAAUCUAAAGAAUGUAUUUAAAAGCAUGGAAACGUCUAGUUUGCAUUUGCACUUUAUGUUGUACUGGGUAAUAGGCUUGUCCUCAACGAUGACUCGGUUGUUGCUUAUCAACUUGUUAUGAAUUGUACAUUGAGUGACUCUAAUGUUCUGAAUUCCAUGACAGGCUGGAUUGGCGCUCGGAGAACUGCGAUCGGUUGGUGACCUUUACGACUUCAACUCGAUCGCCACAUUGUUUCUUAUUGGAAUUGUGUCGGUGACCCCGACUUUAGUUGGCAAGAGUAAAUCAUAACAUUCUAUGGCCUAACACACACUCUUGAGCUUGGAUAUUUUGAUUGCCUCGGAGCCGAAUUUGCAG